rnacentral:miRNA from 1 species
CGCCUGACACUUUCGUCUCAACCU